rnacentral:rRNA from 1 species
GGAUGUUCAUAACCCUUUGUUGUCCGACUCUGUUGCCUCCGGGGCGACCCUGCCUCCGGGCGGGGGCUCCGGGUGGACACUUCAAACUCUUGCGUAACUUUGCAGUCUGAGUAAACUUAAUUAAUAAAUUAAAACUUUUAACAACGGAUCUCUUGGUUCUGGCAUCGAUGAAGAACGCAGCGAAAUGCGAUAAGUAAUGUGAAUUGCAGAAUUCAGUGAAUCAUCGAAUCUUUGAACGCACAUUGCGCCCCCUGGUAUUCCGGGGGGCAUGCCUGUUCGAGCGUCAUUUCACCACUCAAGCCUCGCUUGGUAUUGGGCAACGCGGUCCGCCGCGUGCCUCAAAUCGACCGGCUGGGUCUUCUGUCCCCUAAGCGUUGUGGAAACUAUUCGCUAAAGGGUGUUCGGGAGGCUACGCCGUAAAACAACCCCAUUUCUAAGGUUGACCUCGGAUCAGGUAGGGAUACCCGCUGAACUUAAGCAU